UACAACCUACCUACUCAAGCACAACUGCUAGCUUUCUCAUUUCAGCUACUAAAGAAUAACCUAACAGCAGCAGUUGAUGAAAGAAGCACGCGCAAUUAUGCUUGAAAAAUUAGCAUUUAGCUGAACUGAAGAGAGAAGAUUUUGAUGAACAGUGACCAUGAGUCUUAAGAAGUUGUUAGAUGACCAGAGAAAAGUUAGAUGUGGAAAGUUGAAAAGAAGACAUCAUGAAGUUACUGUUACAGGAUGAGAAUGAACAGCAUGAGAACAACGUGGAGUCCAAAUACCAUCAAUUUCCUGUAAAGAGGACUGCAAAUACUUUGAAACACUGAGCAAUUCCUGCUAAAGGAAAAACCUUGAACAUCAACUGGACAUUAUUUUCUUCCAGGAAUUUCUACCUGUGUCUUUAAAAAUUUGCAACUUGACCUAUGACAUUUCUUUGAGGUUGAAGUUGCCCUGUUACCACUGCAAUACUGAAAGGAAACUCCUGAGAAGAACUGAUUUUAGGUAAUAUGUAAUACAUUUAUCUUGCACCUACAUUUUGAUAAUAUACUGCUUAUUGAGAUGAAGAUUCUGGAAUAUAUCUAGAAGGAUCCUGUUCUCCAAGAGCACAUGUAUAAAACAGUCUGCAGAGAGAUAAUUUUGCUGUCCUGAAGAAUCUAACUAUGGGUAGAAGCCUAUGAGAAUAAACAAAUAAAUAAAAAUAAUAAAAUCUUGUAA
rnacentral:lncRNA from 1 species